AUCUUCAUUUAGCAAACUGUCUUUAACCAUAUCAAUAGUUAGAGUUCCCUUUGGCGUGGAGUUGCAAAUAGUCACCACAUACAUUUCCCAACUUUCUGGUAAAGAGCCGAGAAGUAACAAUCCCUGUAUCUCAUCAUCUAUAUUCAUUUUCAUAGCAACCAACUUGUUUGCAAGACUCUGAAAUAGGCUUAUGUGCUCAACAAUGUUA
rnacentral:lncRNA from 1 species